AACGUAGGAGACAAACGUUAUCCGGAGUUACUGGGCGUAAAGGGCGUGCAGGCGGUUCGCUAAGUCUGGCGUGAAAUCAUUCGGCUUAACCGGGUGAUGGCGUCGGAGACUGACGGACUAGAGGGUGAUAGAGGCGUGUGGAAUUCCGGGUGUAGUGGUGAAAUGCGUAGAGAUCCGGAGGAACACCAGUGGCGAAGGCGACACGCUGGGUCACACCUGACGCUAAAACGCGACAGCAUGGGGAGCAAACGGG
rnacentral:rRNA from 1 species